GAUCAUGGCUCAGGACGAACGCUGGCGGCGUGCCUAACACAUGCAAGUCGAGCGGAGACAGUGAGUAGCUUGCUAUGAGCUGUUUUAGCGGCGGACGGGUGAGUAACGCGUGAGCAACCUUUCCCAGACAAGGGAAUAACACACCGAAAGGUGUACUAAUACCGCAUAAGACCACCGGAUCACAUGGUUCUGGGGUAAAAGAUUUAUCGGUUUGGGGUGGGCUCGCGUCCGAUUAGGUAGUUGGUGAGGUAACGG
rnacentral:rRNA from 1 species